CGGAGCUAACGCGUUAAGUAGACCGCCUGGGGAGUACGGUCGCAAGAUUAAAACUCAAAUGAAUUGACGGGGGCCCGCACAAGCGGUGGAGCAUGUGGUUUAAUUCGAUGCAACGCGAAGAACCUUACCUACUCUUGACAUCCAGAGAACUUUCCAGAGAUGGAUUGGUGCCUUCGGGAACUCUGAGACAGGUGCUGCAUGGCUGUCGUCAGCUCGUGUUGUGAAAUGUUGGGUUAAGUCCCGCAACGAGCGCAACCCUUAUCCUUGUUUGCCAGCGAGUAAUGUCGGGAACUCCAGGGAGACUGCCGGUGAUAAACCGGAGGAAGGUGGGGACGACGUCAAGUCAUCAUGGCCCUUACGAGUAGGGCUACACACGUGCUACAAUGGCGCAUACAGAGGGCGGCCAACUUGCGAGAGUGAGCGAAUCCCAAAAAGUGCGUCGUAGUCCGGAUCGGAGUCUGCAACUCGACUCCGUGAAGUCGGAAUCGCUAGUAAUCGUGGAUCA
rnacentral:rRNA from 1 species